AAUUGGGUUCUUUUUUGCUCCUGCUUUGGGCUGGAUGCUGGUCUCUAGUUUCAUGGACUGUAUGUCUCAACUAUACAGUGAGGCCAUGCCUCCAAAUCACACUCAGCUCUCCUUCCUCCAGCUCAAGACCUCUUAUUAGGUGUCACUUUCCCUACUGGUCAUGAUGCCAUAAUAGGGUCAUAAUGAGAAUAUAGAGCUAGCACGACAGCUUUUCAGUGGUGCCUUCUCUGUGGUUGGUUGGGUAUCACUGACCCAGACAGAGUGGUUAAGCUAAAAAUAUUUGCCCAUAAUGCAUCCCCCACCCCAGCCUUUAGCUGCUGGUGGGAGGAACAGUUGUUUUCAGUUUGAAUUGCUAAUACCACAAACUCCACUUUGCCAGAAAUGGGGCUUCUUGAUGAAUAGUUCCAGAUUUUAGCCAGUUGAGAGUGAAGACAUGUUUGGCCACCUGCUGGAGCACCAAGGACCAAGAGGAGACCAGAUGAGUUUUCAGAGCAGUUCUCAGACACCCAGGACGCAUGUCAUCCUUUGCCUCGUGCUUUCUGCAAUGUUGCUGCUCACCUUCAUCUUUCUAUUAACCCUUGCCAUAAUGAUCCCCUCCUGACACCAUCUCUUCUCCAUUUAUCACCCACUCAGCUCUUUCUCUGAGGUGUUUCUCCCAUGGGGUAUGGCUUUGUCUCUGGCAAGCUCCCCUUGAAUCAUAUCCAGAUGGCUGCCAUUACUUUCUUUCCCUCUGUCUCCUCUUCACACCAGACUCAGUUGACACUCAGCCCUUUGGUCAGGAAAACCAGAGGAAAAGCUCCCUCUUCCAAAAGGAAGUCAGAACAUGCUCUGCUGGAGCCACCAUGCUCAGGGAAGAGACCCAAAAUACAGCUGAGUGUGAUGUCAUUGAAACCAGAUGGAAAGACCAGAAAUCCCUUAAUCCCAGUUAGACCUAGUGAAAGAGCUUUACUCAUGACUGUUGGGACUGAUUAAGAAUAUGGGGGCAGGGAGGAAGAGAGGGAGAAAGAUGUUCUGAAUUGGAUUACCCCUCAAUACAGAAUGGAAUCCCCUAGAUUUUUUUCUCCAAUUAAAUGUGCAUUUCAUUCUACCACA